rnacentral:misc_RNA from 1 species
UCUCCGUAGGUGAACCUGCGGAGGGAUCAUUACUGAGUGAGGGCUUCGGUCCGACCUCCAACCCUUUGUGAACCAAACUUGUUGCUUCGGGGGCGACCCUGCCGGCACUCUGUCGCCGGGCGCCCCCGAAGGUCUCCAAACACUGCAUCUUUGCGUCGGAGUUAAAGUAAAUUAAACAAAACUUUCAACAACGGAUCUCUUGGUUCCAGCAUCGAUGAAGAACGCAGC